rnacentral:lncRNA from 10 species
CGGGGAGGGGCGGGCACGGUGCAGCGCCGCCUCCCGUUCGCCUCUGCGCCUGGCCCGGCGACUGCGGGCGCUGCGGUCCACUGGGUCCGCCUCUUCCCGGCAUGGGUUUCUGCCCAGCUCACCCGCUGUCAGCUGGGGUCCUGCUCUGGUGGGAGGAAGAGGCUCAGACGCUUCCCUGCCCUCUCGCCUCAACCACCUCGAGGCAGCGGCUCCCAGGAUGUGCACUUUGACGACUAAAGCUGAGCCGGCGCCGCCACGACCUUGGGCGGGUGGUCGGCCUCUGCCCUGAGCAGGAAGUAGAAAGUCUCAGCAGACCCUUCCUGAGGGCCGAGCAACAGUGUAGUGGCGUAUUCCACAUAGCAAACAGGUGAAUUCCUUGGAAGAUGAGGGCCAAGUCUUAUUCUUCUCAGUCUCUUCUGCAUCUAGCAGAAGAAUAAUGGUUGCACAGAAAAUCUUGGUUCAGUGGUUGAGUGAAUGAAUGGAUGAACAGGCUCUUGCACACAAAGAAGAGACAUGAUGUAUUUGCAUCCUUCCCUGCUUCAGCCAGUUUUCUGAAGCUCAGAGGGACACCUUGUAUUGCUGGAUGAUAAAAACAGGAGCAAAGUGAUGAAGUGCUGACAAGGCAACAAUAGAACAUGAGAGAUUCACUGCUGUGUAGGAAGAGAUCUUCGGUGACCAUGUAGCCUGAAGCUCUCAUUUUGUCAUCGAGGGACACCAAAACUCAGAACAGCAGCAGCUCACGCUGCUGAUGCAACACAGGUGAAGAGCACCUUCCCCUCCCCCACCUGUGGGCUGAUUCCCACCACGUGGAUCCCAAGGCCAUCCCAGGAACUCUUUGGAGGGGAGAAGCCCAGUGGAAACUGUCAGGCCUCUGAGCACAAGCCAAGCCAUCGCAUCCCCUGUGACUUGCACGUAUAUGCCCAGAUGGCCUGAAGUAACUGAAGAAUCACAAAAGAAGUGAAAAGGCCCUGCCCCACCUUAACUGAUGACAUUCCACCAUUGUGAUUUGUUCCUGCCCCACCUUCACUGAGUGAUUAACCCUGUGAAUUUCCUUCUCCUGGCUCAGAAGCUCCCCCACUGAGCACCUUGUGACCCCCGCCCCUGCCCACCAGAGAACAACCCCCUUUGACUGUAAUUUUCCAUUACCUUCCCAAAUCCUAUAAAACGGCCCCACCCCUAUCUCCCUUCGCUGACUCUCUUUUCGGACUCAGCCCGCCUGCACCCAGGUGAAAUAAACAGCCAUGUUGCUCACA